CCUCUUUACUCUCUCUUCCUCCUCCGACGCUCCUUCCGGUCUAGCGAUUCCUCCGACGACCGUCGCUCCUCCCGACGACGGCCUUUCUCUCUCCACUCGACGGCCUCAUCUCAGCAGGGCUCCAUUCUCUCGGCGCACUUCCUCCUAAAUCGCGCUCUCUCCCGACGGCCGAUUUCGCUCACCUCUCUCCGUCCCCCGACUCGCGACCGAGAAGCAAUCGCUCCGCCCUGCUCGAAGCAGUCGCUCGAGAAGCCCUAAAUCUGCGACCGCAAGUCAGCAACGCGAGAAGUGAAACUGUGACUGUCUGUCUCUCUACCCUUGUCCGGUUUUUCCGUUCUUGGCAAAUCCGAAGAUGAGCCCACUUCUGGAUACAUGAUCUUAGGCCGACCCGUCAAGUCGAAGCCCGACGUAAUCUCGCUGCUUCGCUCCACCGAGCUGUUGAAUCGCUUGUGUCCGGGGGGUUUCAAGAUUUUCCGGGGAGGCAAUCGCCUGUUCCGUCAUUGCAGACUUCCAGGCGAGAAGAAAUGUGCCCACAAUAAUCACCCCAACACCGAACCGCCUCCUUUCUCCUCUCUCGAAAGCAAUCUUUGUUAUGGAUUGAUGAAGGCAUGAGUUGAAGAAAUCCUUGUUGUCCCAACUGCUCAACAGUGCUUCCAUGGAUGGCAAAAGUUCAUCUGAGUUGAGCCUUCCCUGGUUCUGGAUUAUUGAGUAUUUGGCAAAAUUCAAGCAAGUUAAGCCAUCCCUCUUGCAUGGUAUCAUUAAAGCGGCUCCAGAGUUACCUGCUCACUUGGGAAAAAAUAUGGAGGAAGUUGUUUCUUUGAGAUGCUUGGAGGAGUUACGUGGCCCUAGAAAUGGAAGCAUGAACAGUACUUGGUCCUCAUUGGGAUCAAAGGCGAAAAUUGAUACAUCAAAGAGCUGCAAAAAUGUCCGACAGUAAAUGUUCCAUAAUGUGAGUUCUAAUAAAUGAUGCAGUGAAAAUGUGUUUUAUUUUCUUCAUGACAUCUUUCCACUGGUUCUGUUCUAAUGAUUGCUGAAGUUUGGUGUCUAUUCCCCUGUUUAUGAAUUUGUUAUAUGUUAGGGCUCUGCAUCUGAUCUUGAAGUAACUGCAAAUGAGUUUUUGAAAUGGGACCUUCACUCAUUUUUAACGCACAAGAGAACCUCUGCCAAAAACUGCUCUAGAGGAGGUACCCAUCCACAUGCUGAUUUUAAAAAAAAAGAGGGUAGAUUGGCAGAUGUUUGUCAUUUGAAUAGGACCGUCAUUCAUAAUGGUGGACAUACUGGACUUACAUGUGCGCCUGAUGUGGGAGACACAUAUGCUCCUAACACAGUUGAUGAACCAAACUUGGUUUCUCGAUCCACCAAUCAUGUGGAGCCCUUGGUAGGAGAUGAUGGUAUUAGGAAGUGUCUUCCCACGAAGAGGAACCAUAUUGAUGUUCACGCUGAAAAUGUUGAAAGGAAUUGUAAUGAGGAUCAACAUCAUGAUGCUCAUUCAGAUGCUAAAAGGGCCAAACAGCAAGAUUCUGAUGAAAUAAAGGACAAAGAAGAAUCACCAGUUGUUCUAACUGGAAGAUUAGGUUUCUAGAGAAAUGAUGGAUGUUCUGAUAGAGAGGUGGCUAACCUUGUCAAGGAUCAUAUGGGGCUGUGGAUGACGACCAGUCGUUAGAGGGAGAUGGGAGGCAUUAUGUUCAGCCAAGGACUUGUGACGUACUUUCCGAUGGAAUGGAGUGGGGGUUUUCCGUUGAUGAUCCCAAACGCGUCCAUGACUCCAUAGAGAAAACAAAGAACAGUGAAUCAGCUCGAGCAUCGGAAUGGGGGCAGACUUUUACCAGUCAUGCAGAAGAUUACGUGGUCCACGUUGUCGGGGAGGAUAUGUCCAGUGAUGGUGAUGAAUAUAGAAAAGAGCAGACAGGAUCCUAUAACAUUAAUGUUUUCAAAAACACAUUUUGGUGAUUUAUAUGAUCUGAUUUACAUGAUCUGAUGUCCGGGAUUUGAGGAUUCAUGAUGUUUUCUUUACAAAAAAGCAAUAACUUGUUAGUACUGUCUCGUCAAUAAUCAUUCAUGUUGUCUCAUCAAUAACUUUUUAUACAUUAGUUGCUGAAUAAUUUUGAUGUUCA